rnacentral:rRNA from 1 species
AGUGAACGCUGGCGGUAGGCCUAACACAUGCAAGUUGAACGGCAGCACAGUAAGAGCUUGCUCUUACGGGUGGCGAGUGGCGGACGGGUGAGGAAUACAUCGGAAUCUACUUUUUCGUGGGGGAUAACGUAGGGAAACUUACGCUAAUACCGCAUACGUCCUACGGGUGAAAGCAGGGGAUCUUCGGACCUUGCGCGAUUGAAUGAGCCGAUGUCGGAUUAGCUAGUUGGCGGGGUAAAGGCCCACCAAGGCGACGAUCCGUAGCUGGUCUGAGAGGAUGAUCAGCCACACUGGAACUGAGACACGGUCCAGACUCCUACGGGAGGCAGCAGUGGGGAAGAUUGGACAAUGGGCGCAAGCCUGAUCCAGCCAUACCGCGUGGGUGAAGAAGGCCUUCGGGUUGUAAAGCCCUUUUGUUGGGAAAGAAAAGCAGCAGGUUAAUACCCCGCUGUUCUGACGGUACCCAAAGAAUAAGCACCGGCUAACUUCGUG